ACUGCUUUUCACCAUAGACCUAAAAGAAAUGGACAAACAGACUCCGUCGUUCUCAAUGAGAGGGGGCUGAAACAAAAAAUCGUUUCCUGUUCAUCGUACUGCGCAGACUCAAACUCAUUUUGUGACGUUGGCCGCCCUGAACAUUGCUGUAACUCGUCUGAUAGAUGUUCAUACAGAUAUUUUGCCAUUCGACCUCGACUGACUGCGAUUUCUUGGAUCUUAGUUUACCAGUCAGACCACUACACCUUUGCCAGCACCACCACCCAGCAAGCUUCAUCAACUCCAGCCAUGCCGAGUUUACCAGUCAGACCUACACCUCCGUCAAAUUCGCUCACAGCGCUGCCAAUAACACCCCAGCAAGAUUUUUACAGACUUGUUCUGCAGCACUUCUGAACAAUUGAG